AUGCAAAUUCUUCAAGAGCGCAACCAAGCAAACCAAGGCAACCAAGGCAACCAUCAGAAUCACUUUGCUACACUCAACCAGUUCCUUGCUAACCAGCCAAAGACUUUCAGCAAUUGUGUUGAGGCAACUGACGCUGAUGAUUGGCUCGUGGACUUGUGCAAGCAUUUCGAGUGCAGUAACGUCAGGCCUGAGGACUUUGUCAAGUUUGCUUCCUUCCAACUCAAAGACCAAGCUGCAGAAUGGUUUCAGCAGUACAAAGAUUCCAGAGGAGGCCGUGUGAUUACCUGGGAUGAAUUCCGUCAAGACUUCAAAGCUCAUCAUAUUCCUGAGAGCGUGGUUGAAAGCAAGCGUGAGGAAUUCUGCAACCUGAAGCAAGGCUCUAUGUCUGUCUAUGAGUACAACAAGAUGUUUCAGAAGCUCGCCCGCUUUGCUAAGCAGGACGUACCUGACGAGAAGAGCAUGAUAUACCAGUUCAGGGGUGGUCUCAGAGAAGAAAUCCAGUUAGCUCUUGUCCUCUUUGAGCCCAGGAGGUACGAUGAGUUUUACAACAUGGCAUUGAAGCAAGAGGCUGCUCAAUUGAAGUGUGAUGCUUCCAAGAAGCGAGUCAGAGAUGCUACUCCUUCUUCCUCAACUCAAGUGGCUAAGCAGCAGAAGUAUUGGCUUCCUCCUCCUCGUUUCAUCAGCCUUAUCAGUAGAGGAGCAAAGGUGGCAGUGGACAUUCCCACCCACCCAACCCUGGCUUUCAGAACAAGACUUCAUCUCAAGCUUCAAGAUCGAGUGCUCCGUAUCACCGUCCGCUUUCAGAGGUCACGUGCAACAAGUGCCAACAGAAGGGUCACUAUGCCAACAAAUGCUUCAAUCAGAGGCGCCUCCCUCCUCCUCCUCCUCCUCCUCCUCCUCCUGUGA
rnacentral:rRNA from 1 species